ACCUCUUCUAGUCAAUGAAAUCUUAGUUUAAUAAAGCCCAGUGUAUGUGCAUACUAGGUCACAAUGUAAAAUACAUUUUUCUUAUGGGUUGUGGUGUAAACAUUUGAAAGCCCCUAUUUUAGGAACUUCAGUUAAUGAUCAAACCAAACCAAGCAACCGGCAAAUUAAGUGAUUCUUCCUUGCUUCCACAUGUCUCGGUCCCUGCACUCCUUUAAGGAUUUCAAGAGAUAUCUGCUUCCCUCAUCCCACUCUCCUCUUCUCACCAACUUUUUAUUCUUUCAGAAAUGUUUCAAAUAUAAUGAAAUAAAACUUCUUUGUGCCACCUAAUGAAGUUCUCAAGUGCACGUUGGGGUGACAACUGCCCAAGGCAAGAAACAGAAGAUCCCUGGCACUCCGGCAUCCCCUCCUGAUCAGUACCCUUCCCUCUCUACAAUUCUGACGUCGUCAUACACAUACUAAAAUCUAUACGGGCUUUUUUUCCCCUUAGGAAUUUCUUCCCAUCCCAAGGUCACAAGGAUGUCCUUUUGUGCAUCUGGAACUGUGUAUAGAGUGUAUAGAGAGGGGAGAGAACUGUUCAUACAAGUGCAGCCGUGAGGAACCUCUUCCUCUCCCACCAACACUGCGGGAGCCCAGGACUUUCUCAAAC